rnacentral:rRNA from 1 species
AAAUUGAAGAGUUUGAUCAUGGCUCAGAUUGAACGCUGGCGGCAGGCCUAACACAUGCAAGUCGAGCGGUAGCACAGAGAGCUUGCUCUCGGGUGACGAGCGGCGGACGGGUGAGUAAUGUCUGGGAAACUGCCUGAUGGAGGGGGAUAACUACUGGAAAC